rnacentral:rRNA from 1 species
AUUAUGGCUCAGAUGAAACGCGGCGGGCAUGCUUUACACAUGCAAGUCGAACGGCAGCACGGGGGCAACCCUGGUGGCGAGUGGCGAACGGGUGAGUAAUGUAUCGGAACAUGUCCGGAAGUGGGGGAUAACGUAGCGAAAGUUACGCUAAUACCGCAUAUGCCCUGAGGGGGAAAGGUGGGGAUCGUAAGACCUAUCGCUUUCGGAGUGGCCGAUAUCAGAUUAGCUUGUUGGUGAGGUAAAGGCUCACCAAGGCGACGAUCUGUAGCUGGUCUGAGAGGACGACCAGCCACACUGGGUCUGAGACACGGCCCAGACUCCUACGGGAGGCAGCAGUGGGGAAUUUUGGACAAUGGGGGCAACCCUGAUCCAGCCAUGCCGCGUGAGUGAAGAAGGCCUUCGGGUUGUAAAGCUCUUUCGGACGGAAAGAAACGGCUACGGCUAAUACCCGUGGCUAAUGACGGUACCGUCAGAAGAAGCACCGGCUAACUACGUGCCAGCAGCCGCGGUAAUACGUAGGGUGCGAGCGUUAAUCGGAAUUACUGGGCGUAAAGCGUGCGCAGGCGGUUUUGUAAGACAGGUGUGAAAUCCCCGGGCUUAACCUGGGAACUGCAUUUGUGACUGCAAGGCUAGAGUGUGGCAGAGGGGGGUAGAAUUCCACGUGUAGCAGUGAAAUGCGUAGAGAUGUGGAGGAAUACCGAUGGCGAAGGCAGCCCCCUGGGUCAACACCGACGCUCAUGCACGAAAGCGUGGGGAGCAAACAGGAUUAGAUACCCUGGUAGUCCACGCCCUAAACGAUGUCAACUAGGUGUUGGGGGAGGAGACUUCCUUAGUACCGCAGCUAACGCGUGAAGUUGACCGCCUGGGGAGUACGGCCGCAAGGU